UCGACCACAUCAACCACCUUCUCUUACUCCUGCCCCACUUUUCUUCCCUUCCCCUAAAUCCAGGUUCACGUUAGAGGAUAAGAUAAACAACAAUGUGGGCAUCACCACAGGUUGUUGCCAGUCUUAGCCAUGAGAGCUAAUGGAAACAAAUUGCUGCUAUGACAAAAUGAGAGUCAGUCAAAAAAACAAAAACAGCGUAGGCAAUUCACCAUCACGCCUCUCCAAGCAGAAUCCUCCCACAGAUGGCACAGUACCCAUCAGAUAGCCUUUAAAGAAAAGAAACUCGGCACUUCCCACAUCUCCACAGACCCUCUGAAAGUCAAUCCCAGAAGUUACGUUCUCCCUCUUCCCACUUCAACUGUUCACCUGCCUUACAUACAGCUCAUCCUGCUUGAAACCGGUCCGUGCUUCCCUGAGUGACUUUGCGAGUUGUUAUCUGGACUCAGAAAGCAGAGGAAAGGGCUGCUCCUGUUACAAGCUGGCGGCUCCACGUGGUGCUGUGGAAAAGGCAUCCUUGCCGGAGGCAAAGGCAUUUACACCUUCCAGGGAGACACAUGAUUAGAGACGGCAGGGGAGGUGCAGACACAGACAGGGAGGAGGGGGUGGAUAGGCAGCUAACUGAAACUUCAUCUAUUAGAAGAGGAAAGGCCUUUGAAAAGUGAAUUAACGAUAUUUAUAGCUGCUUCAGGUAAGUAGCUGGCGAGAGCUCUCGGAUAAUGAGGCCAAGGUUGAAUUCCCAUACGGACCAGAGAGAAGCGAUGGCGGAGAUCCUGUGGAGAAGUGAUGCUGUUCCCGCCCUGGCUCUGAGACUUAGGCAAACACACACCUCUCUGAACCUCAGUUCCCCAGUCUAAAACGGGUAUUCACAUUCCACCUGCCUGUCCCAUAUGUCUUAAGGAAUAAA